CGAACGCUGGCGGCAGGCCUAAUACAUGCAAGUCGAACGGCUCUUCGGAGCAGUGGCGAACGGGUGAGUAACGCGUGGGAAUGUGCCCUUAGGUACGGAACAACACAGGGAAACUUGUGCUAAUACCGUAUGUGCCCUUCGGGGGAAAGAUUUAUCGCCUUUGGAGCAGCCCGCGUUGGAUUAGGUAGUUGGUGAGGUAAAGGCUCACCAAGCCGACGAUCCAUAGCUGGUCUGAGAGGAUGACCAGCCAUACUGGGACUGAGACACGGCCCAGACUCCUACGGGAGGCAGCAGUAGGGAAUCUUGCGCAAUGGGCGAAAGCCUGACGCAGCCAUGCCGCGUGUAUGAUGAAGGUCUUAGGAUUGUAAAAUACUUUCACCGGGGAAGAUAAUGACGGUACCCGGAGAAGAAGCCCCGGCUAACUUCGUGCCAGCCGCCGCGGUAA
rnacentral:rRNA from 1 species